AACACUGUUAACCUGCGGUACCUGCGGAAGGAUCAUUAUAGUAUAUGGAAUCUCCAUUCUAUAAACCCACUCUGCGUACCUUGUAACUGUUGCUUCCAUGGGACUUGGUUCCGCCACACCGGCUUCACGGCUGGUGAGCGCCCAUGGAAGGAGAAACAAAACUCUUCUUUGAAAUGUAGUCAGUCUGAACAAGUUUUUAUAAACGUUAAAACUUUUAACAAUGGAUCUCAGAUCGGAAGA
rnacentral:misc_RNA from 1 species